CCUACGGGGCGCAGCAGUGGGGAAUAUUGGACAAUGGGCGAAAGCCUGAUCCAGCCAUGCCGCGUGUGUGAAGAAGGCCUUCGGGUUGUAAAGCACUUUCAGUGGGGAAGAAAGCCUUGGGGCUAAUACCCUCGAGGAAGGACAUCACCCACAGAAGAAGCACCGGCUAACUCCGUGCCAGCAGCCGCGGUAAUACGGAGGGUGCGAGCGUUAAUCGGAAUUACUGGGCGUAAAGCGCGCGUAGGCGGUCUGAUAAGCCGGUUGUGAAAGCCCCGGGCUCAACCUGGGAACGGCAUCCGGAACUGCCAGGCUAGAGUGCAUGAGAGGAAGGUAGAAUUCCCGGUGUAGCGGUGAAAUGCGUAGAGAUCGGGAGGAAUACCAGUGGCGAAGGCGGGCUUCUGGACUGACACUGACGCUGAGGUGCGAAAGCGUGGGUAGCAAACAGGAUUAGAUACCCCUGUAGUC
rnacentral:rRNA from 1 species